UACAGGCUUAACACAUGCAAGUCGAGGGGCAUCAGGAAGAAAGCUUGCUUUCUUUGCUGGCGACCGGCGCACGGGUGAGUAACACGUAUCCAACCUGCCCUUUACUCGGGGAUAGCCUUUCGAAAGAAAGAUUAAUGCCCGAUGGCAUAAUGAUUCCGCAUGGUUUCAUUAUUAAAGGAUUCCGGUAAAGGAUGGGGAUGCGUUCCAUUAGGUUGUUGGUGAGGUAACGGCUCACCAAGCCUUCGAUGGAUAGGGGUUCUGAGAGGAAGGUCCCCCACAUUGGAACUGAGACACGGUCCAAACUCCUACGGGAGGCAGCAGUGAGGAAUAUUGGUCAAUGGGCGCUAGCCUGAACCAGCCAAGUAGCGUGAAGGAUGAAGGCUCUAUGGGUCGUAAACUUCUUUUAUAUAAGAAUAAAGUGCAGUAUGUAUACUGUUUUGUAUGUAUUAUAUGAAUAAGGAUCGGCUAACUCCGUGCCAGCAGCCGCGGUAAUACGGAGGAUCCGAGCGUUAUCCGGAUUUAUUGGGUUUAAAGGGAGCGUAGGUGGACUGGUAAGUCAGUUGUGAAAGUUUGCGGCUCAACCGUAAAAUUGCAGUUGAUACUGUCAGUCUUGAGUACAGUAGAGGUGGGCGGAAUUCGUGGUGUAGCGGUGAAAUGCUUAGAUAUCACGAAGAACUCCGAUUGCGAAGGCAGCUCACUGGACUGCAACUGACACUGAUGCUCGAAAGUGUGGGUAUCAAACAGGAUUAGAUACCCUGGUAGUCCACACAGUAAACGAUGAAUACUCGCUGUUUGCGAUAUACAGUAAGCGGCCAAGCGAAAGCAUUAAGUAUUCCACCUGGGGAGUACGCCGGCAACGGUGAAACUCAAAGGAAUUGACGGGGGCCCGCACAAGCGGAGGAACAUGUGGUUUAAUUCGAUGAUACGCGAGGAACCUUACCCGGGCUUAAAUUGCAGUGGAAUGAUGUGGAAACAUGUCAGUGAGCAAUCACCGCUGUGAAGGUGCUGCAUGGUUGUCGUCAGCUCGUGCCGUGAGGUGUCGGCUUAAGUGCCAUAACGAGCGCAACCCUUAUCUUUAGUUACUAACAGGUUAUGCUGAGGACUCUAGAGAGACUGCCGUCGUAAGAUGUGAGGAAGGUGGGGAUGACGUCAAAUCAGCACGGCCCUUACGUCCGGGGCUACACACGUGUUACAAUGGGGGGUACAGAAGGCAGCUAGCGGGUGACCGUAUGCUAAUCCCAAAAGCCUCUCUCAGUUCGGAUCGAAGUCUGCAACCCGACUUCGUGAAGCUGGAUUCGCUAGUAAUCGCGCAUCAGCCACGGCGCGGUGAAUACGUUCCCGGGCCUUGUACACACCGCCCGUCAAGCCAUGGGAGCCGGGGGUACCUGAAGUACGUAACCGCAAGGAUCGUCCUAGGGUAAAACUGGUGACUG
rnacentral:rRNA from 1 species